CAAAAACAUUGCCUUUUGAAAUAAAUAUAAAAGGUUCAUCCUGCCCGGUGAUUUUUUAACGGCCGCGGUACCCUGACCGUGCAAAGGUAGCAUAAUCAUUUGCCUUUUAAUUGAAGGCUAGUAUGAAUGGACAAAUGUAGAUUUAGCUGUCUCUAAUAUAUAUACAUAAAUUAAUCUCUAGGUGAAGAAGCCUGGAUAAUAAUAAAAGACAAGAAGACCCUAUUGAGCUUCACUUUAACUUUAAUCCCUUAAUAUUUAUAUAUCAAAAUUUAAAGAAUUAAGUUUGGUUGGGGCGACAAGGGAAAAUAAAAAUCUUCCCAUUUUUUCCAGAUCUACACAUCACUUUAUGACCCGUUUUAUCGAUCAAAGGAAAAAGCUACCAUAGGGAUAACAGGCUAAUUCUUCUAAAGAGCCCACAUUGAUAGAAGAGAUUGGCACCUCGAUGUUGGCUUAGAAUAUCCCCCCGGUGUAGCAGCCGAGAAAGGUUGGUUUGUUCAACCAUAAAAAUUCUACGUGAUCUGA
rnacentral:rRNA from 1 species